GAGCGCCGCGUUCGGUCUGUGCACGUUGGUGCAGCUGCAGCCGGGGGACGAGCGGCCGGACAGCGUCAAAGUUUUAAGACUGACCCUGCAGAAUGACCUUCCGGGGGACCGGCCUGACCAAGUAAAGCAAAAGCCGGUGGGAAAAGCCUUCGCGAUGGUGGCCAACCGGGCCACGAGCAGCCACGCCUUGACGUCCGAAUGCAUCAAGUCUAACGAGGGCGACGAGGAGAUAAUUAAGGUGUACCUGAAAGCCCGGGCCGAAGACAGGGCGAAGAACGGCAACGGCCCCUCUCCGUUGACAAACGACAACUCUCAUCCU